AAACCAAGUUUUGCCUACUGUUAUUUCGCUUAUAUAAAACGAAUAACGGUUUACUACAUGCUUGGAAGAAAAAUAGUCGACUCCACCCUGGAUAUUCUUUAUUUAUGAGUUUUCAGGACUAAAUCACCGACUAAAAUCU
rnacentral:snoRNA from 1 species